UAUUCGCCCUUUGGCAUCUCGCAAAAACUUUGACCCACCUCAACUCUUACCUCUCUUCCCUUUGCAUCCCAGUUCUCAUUGCUCAUAACACACCUUUCUCAAUAUAUUAUAUCUAUCAUUGCCAAGCUUAGAUCUGGUCAGCUAAAUGGUUCCCCAUAUCUGAAGCUUUUGACACAGCUCAUUGCAUCCAUCCAGAAAGAAAUCCCCAGGAACAGGACAGCCAAGGUGAACCUGAAAUAUUUCUGAUUAUCCUUUUUUUCAUGCCAAAAUAUCAAGCACUGGCUGGGUGCCUAUUGAGGAUAUCGUAGAUUUGAGCAAAAGUGAGACUGAAAGGCAAAGGCGUGAAGGGGAAAGUGUUUGACAAAUAUAUUUGCAGAUGAUGUGAUUGAAGUGAACAACUUUGGUUGAGAAGAAAGUUUUUGAAGGAGCUGGAGUACAUCACUAUUAGUUUCCCCUGGAACUAAAGUGAUCUCAAUUUUCGGGUCUGGAACUUGAAACAUCAAUUUUUAAAGGUUAUGGAAACCUUAGCAAGGCAAAAAUUCAGUCCAUGUCAAUAUCCAUCUGGUGUAGUGUAAAUUUGAGUUUGAUGUAACCAUGUGAAAUUGUUUGUAUGCUAAUAUUCUAGAAAAAUGAUAUGGAACUAAAACCCUUUUACCUUUUUUGUUAUGCUCCUUAUGACAGAUUUUAUUUUCUAAAAAGCAGAAGAGACUAUUAGAAUUUAGAA